AAUAGAUACCCUGGUAGUCCACGCCGUAAACGAUGAGUGCUAAGUGUUAGAGGGCUUCCACCCUUUAGUGCUGCAGCUAACGCAUUAAGCACUCCGCCUGGGGAGUACGGCCGCAAGGCUGAAACUCAAAGGAAUUGACGGGGGCCCGCACAAGCGGUGGAGCAUGUGGUUUAAUUCGAAGCAACGCGAAGAACCUUACCAGGUCUUGACAUCCUUCGCUACCUCUAGAGAUAGAGGGUUCCCCUUCGGGGGACGGAGUGACAGGUGGUGCAUGGUUGUCGUCAGCUCGUGUCGUGAGAUGUUGGGUUAAGUCCCGCAACGAGCGCAACCCUUGACCUUAGUUGCCAGCAUUCAGUUGGGCACUCUAAGGUGACUGCCGGUGACAAACCGGAGGAAGGUGGGGAUGACGUCAAAUCAUCAUGCCCCUUAUGACCUGGGCUACACACGUGCUACAAUGGAUGGUACAAAGGGUCGCGAAACCGCGAGGUGGAGCUAAUCCCAAAAAACCAUUCUCAGUUCGGAUUGCAGGCUGCAACUCG
rnacentral:rRNA from 1 species